AACAGUGAAGACACAUGAUAACUGAACCACACCAAAGCCAAAAUGAAGUUAAACAUGUCUAUACCACUCAUGCCAAAUUUCAAAUCCAUCCAAUUAAUAACCAGAAUUUCACAAAUCAAAUACAAACAUGUCUCACAAAAAGUUCACAAAUGGCUAAACAGAAAAUAAAAUCCCAAUCAAAUAGGAAAUGGAUCAAAAAAAUCCACAAAAAAUCAUGCUCAAACUAGACAUUCAGAA
rnacentral:lncRNA from 1 species